UAUUAUAUACUGAUGUAUUUGGACAACAGUUACGUAGGUUCCUUCACACAGCAGCAGUCUCAAAUUUACGCUUUGCACGUAUACCACCAUAAAUUUUUCUGUUUCAGUGUAGGCACAGCUAGCAAUCUCGUGGACAACUGUGAGAUUAUCUAUCACAACCACAGAUAUUACACACUGACCAGUACUUUGCUCCAUAGAGUUCCGACUCUGCCCGUAGUUCAAGAUUCUGGUUGAUAGAUGGUAGCUCAAAUCUUGUCAUUAUUUUCCCAUUUUCACUUAGAUUCUUCUUUGCGAAUAAUUGCUCCUAACAGACAAUGUGUGUUUAUCAUAUACAGAGAUGAAUUUAAGUUGUAAUAAUUUUGUGUGUUUGUCGGUCUUGUUUAGUUGACACGUUCUUUUCAGUGUUUCUUGGACAUGGUGGUAUCCAAUAUGGUGUCUGCUUAAGAGAAGUAAUAUGGUGAAUUUGGGCUGUUUGAAUGUAUUUGUGGCUGAGUUUUCGAAACGUGUGUCAGUUUAACGGGUUUAUCAGUAACGAUGACAUCGAGAAGAGCCGUUGAGGCUAUCCGGGAAUGAUGCCCACGCUUUGGGCCCGUGUGUGUGGGGCCCUGAUCCAGUUGGCGACCAGGGACAGUCGAGGCAGAGAGGCGCGCGCUCAGGACGAAGAAUCAGCCAGGCGACGCCAGGGACUGAGGAGAUGGUUUCAUACCAAUAUCUCGGGCAUCGAUGCAGAGAUUCUCCUACUGAAUCGUGGAUUCGAUGGCAGUUUCCUUGCUCGACCGAGUCGGAGUAACCCUGGGGAUUUUACGUUGUCUGUCAGG